GCCUUUUUGCAUGUUAUUGGUUUUGAGUAUUGUAGUGUGAACGUUUAACUUGGAUUAUUUCUAUUAACAGUAGACUGUCACUGUUUGAAGCGAAUACUAGGACUGAGAGACAGUUUCCCCUGAGGUGCAAACUCCUGAAGAUACGGCUUGUCAAAAUACUUUCCCUAAACAAAUUUUCAUCAGGUGUAUCAGAACACAUGCAAUAAAUAUCGGAGCAAAUAAAAGGCAACAGCUUAAA